GAUUGUUGAAAAUGCUAGAGGGGCAGGUUUCCCCUCCUUUCCCUAAUUUUGCCACUGGGUGUGGGAUAGGUUUCUGAUGCGGAUCAUAUUAUGCGGUUCAUAUCUUGCCUCUGUAUGGCCAUUCCCUUUUUCAAGAGGAGAGCAUCAAGCAGCAAGUUUCUUAACUAUCUGAACAAGCAAAUUUUUCCUGUUUUUGACAAG